rnacentral:rRNA from 1 species
CCCUUAGAUGUUCUGGGCUGCACGCACGCUACACUGACGCACGCAACAGGUGCCUGCUCCGAGAGGACUGGGUAAUCAUUUGAGUGUGCGUCGUGAUGGGGAUAGAAUAUUGUAAUUAUUACUCUUCAACGAGGAAUUCCUAGUAAGCGCCAGUCAGCAGCUUGCGCUGAUUACGUCCCUGCCCUUUGUACACACCGCCCGUCGCUCCUACCGAUGGGUGAUCCGGUGAAUGAUUCGGACUUCAGCGGCUCCCCUGGGGUGCGCCGGAGAAAGUUUUGUGAACCUUAUCACUUGGAGGAAGGAGAAGUCGUAACA